CGAUGGUGGGCGGUUACAACCGCCCGCCUUUCCCAGCAAUCAGAGGCUUCAAGAAGCCUCGAUCGGAUCCGGUGUUAGACCCACGCCGUCGGAGCAGAGGGCUGCAUCGUCGGAGUAGGAGACGAACGAUCCCCUUCAAAGCAGGUGAUCAAGGAUUUGUCACCCGGACGUAAGAAAUUGGAAAGCAUAUUGCAAUGAUUAAGACCACUAGGAGCAGGGAGCUUGAUGUUAUUCAGGGUUGGGGUAAUUGAAAAUGUUAUGUAAUAAUCAGAUUUUAGAAGCUCUGUACUGUUCCAACUUCAUGAACAAUGUUAUGAUAUUAGUAAAUGAAACUAUUUAUUUUUAUUAUGAAA